GCGAAGAACCUUACCAGGUCUUGACAUCCUCUGACAACCCUAGAGAUAGGGCGUUCCCCUUCGGGGGACAGAGUGACAGGUGGUGCAUGGUUGUCGUCAGCUCGUGUCGUGAGAUGUUGGGUUAAGUCCCGCAACGAGCGCACCCCUUGAUGUUAGUUCCCACCAUUCAGUUGGGCACUCUAACGUGACUGCCGGUGACAAACCGGAGGAACGUGGGGAUGACGUCAAAUCAUCAUGCCCCUUAUGACCUGGGCUACACACGUGCUACAAUGGACGGUACAAAGGGAAGCGAAACCGCGAGGUGAAGCCAAUCCCAUAAAGCCGUUCUCAGUUCGGAUUGCAGGCUGCAACUCGCCUGCAUGAAGCCGGAAUUGCUAGUAAUCGCGGAUCAGCAUGCCCGACGGAAAUCC
rnacentral:rRNA from 1 species